UGAUAACUAUUUGAUCAUAAAAGUAAUGAUUAAACAGCUUUUACUGGAUGUGUCCUUGUGUUGAUAUGUAUGUGCUGCAUUUCUUGUACGCAUGCAUUGAAUUUAAAACUUUAAAUUUCAAUGAUGUAUGUAUGUUUAUAGGAGGCUAUUAAUGGACAAAUUACAAUCCUAAAACUGAAUCCACAUGAUAUAAUUUCUCGGGUCCGUUGUAACUGUGAUCAAUAUAAUCAUUUAAAAGUUCACAACCACAACUUUGUUCUUUUAUUGGUCACAGUCGCAACAGAUCUGUGAAAUCGUGAAUGAUGUGGAUUCAGCCUAAUUGAUAUGUAUGUAUCGAUAAGUACUAGAUGUUAAUUUUUAAUUUAGAUGCCGCCAAAAAAGGCAACGCCUGAGCAGUAUAAACUGCUUGUGGACAUGUUUGCUGAAAGCAAAUGCUUGAGGUGGGGAAAGGGAACUCCAGGUGAAAAAAAGGAAGCAUGGGAAGCCAUCAGUGCUGCAGUUAAUACUUUAGGAGUUGAGAAAUCGUCAGAUGGAUGGAAAAAGGCCUUUAUUGAGAUGAAAUCUCACAUCAAAUCAAAAAUCCGAGCUUCAAACCAGCUCAACCCAACUGAAAAUAGAUGUGCAGAAGUCACCGGAUUGUUUAUAUCCUGCUCUGGAAUUUCUGGGGUUCAGGAAAUGGGAAUGCCACCUGUUGUUGAUGCGAUAGAUACACAGGAACCCGAAGAGGGCCCUCAAGAUGAGUCGGUCGAAAUAAAUCCACCUGACGGUAAUGAGUUGCUGAUGAAUCCGAAUGCAUGUGAGGUUGUUGAGGAAGAAUUCGAGGAGGUAGAAACAGCCUCAAAAAAAAAACGUAAAACAACUCAAGUAUUGCUCAAUGAACAUGUUGUAUCUACAAACAGAGGGUUGCAGAAUAUAGCACUUGCGAUUCAGUCAGUUGCAGAUGCAAUUAAUAAUAUAGCUUUUGUGUUGGGUGGAACAACGGACGAGGAAUAUGAAGAACAGUAGAAUUAAUGUUACUGUGUAACUGUACAAUGUAGCUUCCGAAAUGUUUUGUUUUUUUACUUUUUUUAUUGAAAAUCAAUAAAAAAAACAAAAACUACACCACAACAGUACGAAAUGUAUAUAAAUUUUAAGAAAUAUAAAUACGACAAUGAAGAAAAUGCUUUUAAAGCAUUAUGUGAAGAACUGAAUAGGAAAAAAAAAUUGCAACGCUCUGUUGAAAAUUGGAAAAGGGUAUAUACCUGAGGUGUGUGCUUAAAAUCACUUAUAUGAUGUAAAAUAGGUUUUUACUGUUUGGGAAUCAAAAGUGAAAGCAAAAGCUAGGAGAAACUAUUUGGAACAAGAGCGCACAGGAGGUGGAGUUCCUAUCUUAGAAAUUCUGGAUGAACUUGAACUACAAUUGUUAUCCGUUUUAACAAAAAUUUUAAUAUAUGGGCAUCCAAAGGUUGUAGAAUUGGGAUUUACAAAACCAAAGAAGACAAAGACGUGUCCCAUUAAACUUUCUGUAGGAAAGAGAUACAGACAUUUGAGAAAAUCCACUGAUUUAUACACCACAUUGAAAAGCGGCUCAACAAAACUAAAAAAUAGUUUACUCGCUAUUCAAAAAAGUUUGCAUGCUCUGCAUGAUGCGAUUUUAAACCUAUUUACUCUAGUUUUAAG